GACGAACGCUGGCGGCGUGCUUAACACAUGCAAGUCGAACGGAAAGGCCCCUUUGGGGGUACUCGAGUGGCGAACGGGUGAGUAACACGUGAGUAACCUGCCCUUGACUUCGGGAUAACUUCAGGAAACUGGGGCUAAUACCGGAUAGGAAUCCUUGCUGCAUGGUGGGGGUUGGAAAGCUUCGGCGGUUUUGGAUGGACUCGCGGGUUAUCAGCUUGUUGGUGGGGUAGUGGCUUACCAAGGCUUUGACGGGUAGCCGGCCUGAGAGGGCGACCGGCCACAUUGGGACUGAGAUGCGGCCCAGACUCGUACGGGAGGCAGCAGUGGGGAAUAUUGCACAAGGGGCGGAGGCCUGAUGCAGCAACGCCGCGUGCGGGAUGACGGCCUUCGGGUUGUAAACCGCUUUCAGCAGGGGCGAAGCUUGUGGUGACGGUACCUGCAGAAGAAGCACCGGCUAACUACGUG
rnacentral:rRNA from 1 species